rnacentral:rRNA from 1 species
AGAGUUUGAUCAUGGCUCAGAUUGAACGCUGGCGGCAUGCCUUACACAUGCAAGUCGAACGGUAACAGGUCUUCGGAUGCUGACGAGUGGCGAACGGGUGAGUAAUACAUCGGAACGUGCCCGAUCGUGGGGGAUAACGAGGCGAAAGCUUUGCUAAUACCGCAUACGAUCUACGGAUGAAAGCGGGGGAUCUUCGGACCUCGCGCGGACGGAGCGGCCGAUGGCAGAUUAGGUAGUUGGUGGGAUAAAAGCUUACCAAGCCGACGAUCUGUAGCUGGUCUGAGAGGAUGAUCAGCCACACUGGGACUGAGACACGGCCCAGACUCCUACGGGAGGCAGCAGUGGGGAAUUUUGGACAAUGGGCGAAAGCCUGAUCCAGCCAUGCCGCGUGCAGGAUGAAGGCCUUCGGGUUGUAAACUGCUUUUGUACGGAACGAAAAGCCUCUUUCUAAUAAAGAGGGGUCAUGACGGUACCGUAAGAAUAAGCACCGGCUAACUACGUGCCAGCAGCCGCGGUAAUACGUAGGGUGCAAGCGUUAAUCGGAAUUACUGGGCGUAAAGCGUGCGCAGGCGGUGAUGUAAGACAGAGGCGAAAUCCCCGGGCUCAACCUGGGAACUGCCUUUGUGACUGCAUCGCUGGAGUGCGGCAGAGGGGGAUGGAAUUCCGCGUGUAGCAGUGAAAUGCGUAGAUAUGCGGAGGAACACCGAUGGCGAAGGCAAUCCCCUGGGCCUGCACUGACGCUCAUGCACGAAAGCGUGGGGAGCAAACAGGAUUAGAUACCCCGGUAGUCC